rnacentral:tRNA from 1 species
UCCCUGGAGGACUAGUGGUUAGGCAGCAGCGCUCUCACAGCUACAGCCUGGGUUCGAUUCCCAGCCAGGGAA